CUCUGCAACCGUUUACAAAAUCCUUACAUUCUACUGAAGUUUGCACCAGUGUUGAAACAGAUGACUUUUUUCUGCCAUAUGAUGAUUUUGGGGUGGAAGAUCAGGUUGCACCUUUGUUUUCCAGCAAUCUGAUAUUCUAUUCCAAAAAUAAUCCUAGAAACAAGAGGUUCCAUUUUUUGUACUGCAAUGGUAGUGGUACCGAGCCUACUGGAGAACCAGAGUUGAUAUCAGAAAUGGAAGAACCGAAAGAUGCAUCAUCAUCUCCAAAAGCUAAUGGCUAACCAUGGUUAAUGAGCGGGAGAGUGUGCAAUUAGCAAAGAGUAACUUUCCCAACUAGAUAAGCUUGAUGGUUCAGAUUACGAUGAAUUUGGAAACGACUUGUACGAAAUUCCUGAAGUUGUGCCAAUUGCAUCUUGCAAUCAACUUCAGGAUGCUCCUGCGCCUGGUAAAGCUGACGAAGACAGCAAAAUUCAGGCCUUAAUUGAUACACCAGCCUUGGAUUGGCAGCACCAAAAUUUUGAAGGCUUUGGGCGUGGCGUGCUUUUGGUUGGGGUGGCGGCUUUGUAGAAAAAAACACCACCUCCAGGCUAUGUAUGCCACAGAUGCAAAACCCCAGGACGUUUUAUUCAGCAUUGCCCCACAAACGAUGAUCCUAAUUUUGAUAUCAAGAGAGUGAAACCUCCGACUGGCAUUCCGAAAACUAUGUUAGUGAUGGUUCUUAUGCAUUACCCAGUGGUGCAGUGGUGGUUUUGAGGCCAAAUGAGUAUGUUUCUUCAUUCGCAUUGCGUGUUGUAUCUUUCUCAGGCUUUGUAGGUUUAUGUGUGUUUUGGUUUCUUUCUUUCUACAGAAGUUUGUUUUUCUUUCUUUCCUGAAGGGAAGGGGUGAGCAUAUAUUUUCAACUUCAAUGAAGUAAUUAACUUAACAGUGU